rnacentral:rRNA from 1 species
GCAAGUCGAACGGUAACGCGGAGAGCUUGCUCUCUGGCGACGAGUGGCGGACGGGUGAGUAAUACUUAGGAAUCUGCCCAGUAGUGGGGGACAACUCGAGGAAACUCGAGCUAAUACCGCAUACGCCCUACGGGGGAAAGCGGGGGAUCUUCGGACCUCGCGCUAUUGGAUGAGCCUAAGUCGGAUUAGCUUGUUGGUGAGGUAACGGCUCACCAAGGCGACGAUCCGUAGCUGGUUUGAGAGGAUGACC